rnacentral:rRNA from 1 species
CUUGCUCUUAUGGGUGGCGAGUGGCGGACGGGUGAGGAAUACAUCGGAAUCUACUCUUUCGUGGGGGAUAACGUAGGGAAACUUACGCUAAUACCGCAUACGACCUACGGGUGAAAGCGGAGGACCUUCGGGCUUCGCGCGGUUGAAUGAGCCGAUGUCGGAUUAGCUAGUUGGCGGGGUAAAGGCCCACCAAGGCGACGAUCCGUAGCUGGUCUGAGAGGAUGAUCAGCCACACUGGAACUGAGACACGGUCCAGACUCCUACGGGAGGCAGCAGUGGGGAAUAUUGGACAAUGGGCGCAAGCCUGAUCCAGCCAUGCCGCGUGGGUGAAGAAGGCCUUCGGGUUGUAAAGCCCUUUUGUUGGGAAAGAAAAGCAGUCGGUUAAUACCCGAUUGUUCUGACGGUACCCAAAGAAUAAGCACCGGCUAACUUCGUGCCAGCAGCCGCGGUAAUACGAAGGGUGCAAGCGUUACUCGGAAUUACUGGGCGUAAAGCGUGCGUAGGUGGUG